rnacentral:tRNA from 1 species
GCCGAGGUGGUGAAAUGGCAGACACGCCAGACUUAGGAUCUGGUGCCCUAAAGGCGUGCGGGUUCAAGUCCCGCCCUCGGCA